rnacentral:pre_miRNA from 1 species
UACAUACUACCUCCGUCCGGAAAUAUUUGUCACGAAAAUGCAUAAAAGCCUAAAAGGGGAUGUAUCUAGAUGUAUUUUAGUUUUAGAUACAUCUUUUUUUAUCCAUUUUGAUGACAAGUAUUUUUUUUGAACGUUAGUACAGU